GACGAACGCUGGCGGCGUGCUUAACACAUGCAAGUCGAACGGAAAGGCCUUUUCGGAGGUACUCGAGUGGCGAACGGGUGAGUAACACGCGGGUGAUCUGCCCUGCACUCUGGGAUAAGCAUGGGCAACUGGGUCUAACACCGGCUAGGACCGCACUUUAGUGUGUGUGGUGGAAAGUUUUUUCGGUGUAGGAUGAGCCCGCGGCCUCUCAGCUUGGUGGUGGGGUAAUGGCCUACCAAGGCGGCGACGGGUAGCCGGACUGGGAGGUUGGACGGGCACAUUGGGACUGGGGUACGGCCCAAGCUCCUUCGGGGGGCAGCAGUGGGGAAUUUUUCACAAUGGGCGGAAGCCUGGUGGAGGGACGCCGCGGGGGGGAUGACGGGCUUCGGGUUGGUAACUCCUUUCGCCAUGGACGGAGCGGUUUGUGACGGUACCGGGAGAAGAAGCACCGGCUAACUACGUG
rnacentral:rRNA from 1 species